GGAUUACAGGCACGUGCCACCACGCCUAGGUAAUUUUUUCAUUUCUUUUGCAGAGACAAGGUGCUGCUAUGUUGCCUAGGCUGGUCUCGAACUCCUGGGCUCAAGCAAUCCUCCCGCCUCAGCCUCGUAAAGUGCUGGGAUUAGAGGUGUGAGCUACCAUACCCAGCUAAUUUAAUUUAAAUUGCCAAAUAUGGCUGGUUGAUCCCAUAUGGGACAGUGGAGCUCUCAAUAGUUGAGACCCAGACAGGGACAAUGAAUCCUUCAAGGCCACAAGCAAGUUAGUGGUACUGUCGGGACUAGAACCCUGGUGGAAUGCCUGGUCCUGUCUUUCUAGAGAGGCCUCACGGUCCUGUGGUUCGGGGCACCCAUUCCGACCCAGACUUCCCCGGCCUACAGCUCUGAUCGGCUGUUUUCAUGUUUUUAUAUAGUUUCCUCACUGCCUUGCCUCAUUCUGAAAGAGGUUACAGUUUGGGUUUGUUUUCCUGGCACACUUCCCACAUCACAGGGAGGUUAUUCUGCUGCUCAUUCUUUCAUCUUGCAACUUUGUAUGGGAUCUGACCUUGAUACUUUUCUGUUGCUCAUUUUUGCUCAAAGUUACUUUCCCUUGGCUCGGAGGAGGGUGGCUUGUCUAACCUCUUCUGCGGUUUGGGAAUACAGGGGUUUGCUUUCCGAUCUCCUGGCUCUGUUCCUCUUGCCACUCUUAUGGGGACCUUGUCUUUUCUUCCUAUUGCCCCAUCCUGCUCACCUUUGAUUCUACCCCCCAGUUACUCCACAAUACAGGGCCCUGUUCUGGAAAGUCCAGAGGGCUGGGACUCCUAGAUCUGGAUUUUUUUUUUUUUUUUCACGGAGUCUCACUCUGUC